UACGGGGGGGGCAAGCGUUGUUCGGAAUUACUGGGCGUAAAGGGCUCGUAGGUGGCCAACUAAGUCGGACGUGAAAUCCCUCAGCUUAACUGGGGAACUGCGUCCGAUACUGGAUGGCUCGAGUUUGGGAGAGGGAUGCGGAAUUCCAGGUGUAGCGGUGAAAUGCGUAGAUAUCUGGAGGAACACCGGUGGCGAAGGCGGCAUCCUGGACCAACACUGACACUGAGGAGCGAAAGCGUGGGGAGCGAACGGG
rnacentral:rRNA from 1 species